rnacentral:rRNA from 1 species
UAUGUGAUCGUCUCUCGCAUAUCAAUAAGCGGAGGAAAAGAAACUAACAAGGAUUCCCCUAGUAACGGCGAGUGAAGCGGGAAGAGCUCAAAUUUGAAAUCUUAAAGGGUUUCCCUGUACGAAUUGUAGUUUAAAGAAGUGUUUUCUGUUGAGGUUUUGGUAAAAGUUCUUUGGAAUAGGACAUCAUAGAGGGUGAGAAUCCCGUAUUUGACCUUUACUUUCAACUUUGUGAUACACUUUCAAAGAGUCGGAUUGUUUGGGAAUGCAGUCCAAAAUGGGUGGUAAAUUUCAUCUAAAGCUAAAUAUUGGCGAGAGACCGAUAGCGAACAAGUACCGUGAGGGAAAGAUGAAAGGAACUUUGAAAAGAGAGUUAAACAGUACGUGAAAUUGUCAAAAGGGAAGCGUUUGACACCAGUGUUGUUUUUCUGAAAAUCAAUUAAAGAACUGUUUAUGCUAAGUUGUUUAGACUUUAUCAGCUAACUGUUUAGUUUUGAGCUUUUCUUUAAUGCACUUUUCAGUUAACAAGUCAACAUCAAUUUCUUUUGCUGUAAAAAAGCUUGAGGAAGGUGGCUUGAGAUUCGUCUUAAGUGUUUAUAGCCUCUUGCCUAUGCAGUCGGAGAGAUUGAGGUCUGCAGCGUAGAUCCUUCGGGGCUAAAUGCAUUUGUGCUAAGUUAUAGCAUUUUAUAGACAACUUGUUGACUAUGAUUUGUCUUGUAGCUUACUCGCUUAUGUUAUUUUACCUACGCUUAGGAUGUUGACACACGCGCGUGCUCG